GCUAGAGUGCCCGAGUUGGUCCAAGGGGGUGGACUUAAGAUCCUCUGUGUUCAGUCACUCGUGGGUUCGAACCCCACCUCUAGCA
rfam:Blastocystis hominis, Singapore isolate B (sub-type 7) whole genome shotgun sequence assembly, scaffold_2